GACGAACGCUGGCGGCGUGCUUAACACAUGCAAGUCGAACGGUGAAGCGCCUUCCUUUUUGGUGGGUGUGGAUGAGUGGCGAACGGGUGAGUAACACGUGAGUAACCUGCCCCCUUCUUCUGGAUAACCGCAUGAAAGUGUGGCUAAUACGGGAUAUUCUGGGUCUGUCGCAUGAUGGGUCUGGGAAAGAUAUUGUUUCGGUGGGGGAUGGGCUCGCGGCCUAUCAGCUUGUUGGUGGGGUGAUGGCCUACCAAGGCGGUGACGGGUAGCCGGCCUGAGAGGGUGGACGGUCACACGGGGACUGAGACACGGCACAGACUCCGACGGGAGGCAGCAGGGGGGAAUAUUGCACAAUGGGCGCAAGCCUGAUGCAGCGACGCCGCGUGAGGGAUGGAGGCCUUCGGGUUGUGAACCUCUUUCGCCAGUGAAGCAGGCCUGCCUCGUUUGUGGGUGGGUUGACGGUAGCUGGAUAAGAAGCGCCGGCUAACUACGUG
rnacentral:rRNA from 1 species